rnacentral:rRNA from 1 species
GACGAACGCUGGCGGCGUGCUUAACACAUGCCAGUCGAACGGACAGGCCCUGCUUUUGUGGGGUGCUCGAGUGGCGAACGGGUGAGUAACACGUGAGUAACCUGCCCUUGACUUUGGGAUAACUUCAGGAAACUGGGGCUAAUACCGGAUAGGAUCUCCUGCUGCAUGGUGGGGGUUGGAAAGUUUCGGCGGUUGGGGAUGGACUCGCGGCUUAUCAGCUUGUUGGUGGGGUAGUGGCUUACCAAGGCUUUGACGGGUAGCCGGCCUGAGAGGGUGACCGGCCACAUUGGGACUGAGAUACGGCCCAGACGCCUACGGGAGGCAGCAGUGGGGAAUAUUGCACAAUGGGCGGAAGCCUGAUGCAGAAACGCCGCGUGCGGGAUGACGGCCUUCGGGUUGUAAACCGCUUUCGCCUGUGACGAAGCGUGAGUGACGGUAAUGGGUAAAGAAGCACCGGCUAACUACGUG